rnacentral:rRNA from 1 species
UACGUAGGCGGAAAAUUAAGUCAGUGGUGAAAUCCUGCAGCUUAACUGUAGAACUGUCAUUGAUACUGGUUUUCUUGAAUACAGUUGAGGUAGGCGGAAUGUGUAAUGUAGCGGUGAAAUGCUUAGAUAUUACACAGAACACCGAUUGCGAAGGCAGCUUACUCAACUGUUAUUGACGCUGAGGUACGAAAGCGUGGGGAGCGAACAGGAUUAGAUACCCUGGUAGUCC